rnacentral:rRNA from 1 species
AUUGAACGCUGGCGGCAUGCCUUACACAUGCAAGUCGAACGGUAACAGGUCUUCGGAUGCUGACGAGUGGCGAACGGGUGAGUAAUACAUCGGAACGUGCCCAGUAGUGGGGGAUAACUACUCGAAAGAGUGGCUAAUACCGCAUGAGAUCUACGGAUGAAAGCAGGGGAUCGCAAGACCUUGUGCUACUAGAGCGGCCGAUGGCAGAUUAGGUAGUUGGUGGGAUAAAAGCUUACCAAGCCGACGAUCUGUAGCUGGUCUGAGAGGACGAUCAGCCAAACUGGAACUGAGACACGGCCCAGACUCCUACGGGGGGCAGCAGUGGGGAAUUUUGGACAAUGGGCGCAAGCCUGAUCCAGCAAUGCCGCGUGCAGGAUGAAGGCCUUCGGGUUGUAAACUGCUUUUGUACGGAACGAAAAGCCCUGGGUUAAUACCCUGGGGUCAUGACGGUACCGUAAGAAUAAGCACCGGCUAACUACGUGCCAGCAGCCGCCGUAAUAC